CGAAGACAGGGCGAAGGGGGCGGGAGGGAGCCAGGAGAGCUGGGCUGGGGGGAGCAGGGAGAGAAGAAAACAAGAGCGAGCUCCUGCUGGGCCGGGGGACCCCGCCUUCUCCAGCAGGGAGAGGAAAACAAGCUCAGCGCAGCAGCAGGGGGAGAAUGAAUUGCCUGCUCCGGCAGCCGCACACUGGCUCCUUUGUGCGUACCCUGGCCCCCUCUGCCGGAGCCCUGCGAGCCGAGCCCGAGAGCGGUGUGGGCCGGUUCCCGCUGUGCCCCGUUUCAAAACAAGGGAGGCACCCCAGAGACAGCGGCCCUGGGACUCUGCCGCCCGAGGAAGAUCCUGGCUCCGCAGAGAGGAGGGGGGAUGGAGUCAGCAGUGACCAGGAAUUCAGGGCUGACAUCCUAGGACUCAGGAUGGCAGGGAAGUGCACAGCGGUCUGCAGUGAAGGUGCAUCAGGAAAAUUCUAGCUCAGAUGGCUAAAGCAUCUCUGAAAUAGACAAAUUUCAGUUCAAGAGCCUUGGUGUUUGAUUAGAGUGAUCGGAAGAUUCCAGGGUAUUAAAAACCUCUUCAAGCA